UACGAAGGGGGCUAGCGUUGUUCGGAAUCACUGGGCGUAAAGGGUGCGUAGGCGGGUCUUUAAGUCAGGGGUGAAAUCCUGGGGCUCAACUCCAGAACUGCCUUUGAUACUGAAGAUCUUGAGUUCGGGAGAGGUGAGUGGAACUGCGAGUGUAGAGGUGAAAUUCGUAGAUAUUCGCAAGAACACCAGUGGCGAAGGCGGCUCACUGGCCCGAUACUGACGCUGAGGCACGAAAGCGUGGGGAGCAAACAGG
rnacentral:rRNA from 1 species